rnacentral:rRNA from 1 species
GACGAACGCUGGCGGCGUGCUUAACACAUGCAAGUCGAACGGAAAGGCCCUGCUUUUGUGGGGUGCUCGAGUGGCGAACGGGUGAGUAACACGUGAGUAACCUACCCUUGACUUUGGGAUAACUUCAGGAAACUGGGGCUAAUACCGGAUAGGAGCUCCUGCUGCAUGGUGGGGGUUGGAAAGUUUCGGCGGUUGGGGAUGGACUCGCGGCUUAUCAGCUUGUUGGUGGGGUAGUGGCUUACCAAGGCGUUGACGGGUAGCCGGCCUGAGAGGGUGACCGGCCACAUUGGGACUGAGAUACGGCCCAGACUCCUACGGGAGGCAGCAGUGGGGAAUAUUGCACAAUGGGCGGAAGCCUGAUGCAGCAACGCCGCGUGCGGGAUGACGGCCUUCGGGUUGUAAACCGCUUUCGCCUGUGACGAAGCGUGAGUGACGGUAAUGGGUAAAGAAGCACCGGCUAACUACGUG